AUCUGGUUGAUCCUGCCAGUAGUCAUACGCUCGUCUCAAAGAUUAAGCCAUGCAUGUGUAAGUAUAAAUAAUUUUACUUUGAAACUGCGAAUGGCUCAUUAUAUCAGUUAUAGUUUAUUAGAAAUAUUUUACUACUUGGAUAACCGUAGUAAUUCUAGGGCUAAUACAUGAGUAAAACCUCAACUUCGGAAGAGGUGUGUUUAUUAGUAUGAAAACCAUAUAUCUUCGGAUAUAAUAGUGAGUAAUAAUAACCUUUCAUAUCGUAUGUCGUAAGAUAACGAUAGUUCUUUCAAGUUUCUGCCCUAUCAGCUUUCGAUGGUAGUAUAUGGGACUACCAUGGCAGUAACGGGUAACGAAGAAUUUGGGUUCGAUUUCGGAGAGGGAGCCUGAGAGAUGGCUACCACAUCCAAGGAAGGCAGCAGGCGCGUAAAUUACCCAAUCCUGACAUAGGGAGGUAGUGACAAUAAAUCACAAUGCGGAACUUUUAGUUUUGCAAUUGGAUUGAGAACAAUGUACAAAUGUUAUCGAUAAACAAUUGGAGGGCAAGUCUGGUGCCAGCAGCCGCGGUAAUUCCAGCUCCAAUAGCGUAUAUUAACGUUGUUGCAGUUAAAAAGCUC
rnacentral:rRNA from 2 species